rnacentral:rRNA from 1 species
CAGCAGCCGCGGUAAUACGGAGGGGGCUAGCGUUGUUCGGAAUUACUGGGCGUAAAGCGCACGUAGGCGGCUUGGUAAGUUAGAGGUGAAAGCCUGGAGCUCAACUCCAGAAUUGCCUUUAAGACUGCCGAGCUAGCAGGUGAGAGAGGUAAGUGGAAUUCCGAGUGUAGAGGUGAAAUUCGUAGAUACUCGGAAGAACACCAGUGGCGAAGGCGGCUUACUGGCUCAUACUGGACGCUGAGGUGCGAAAGCGUGGGGAGCAAACAGGAUUAGAGACCCCUGUAGUCCCUGUCUCUUAUAC